rnacentral:rRNA from 1 species
GAUCAUGGCUCAGGAUGAACGCUAGCUACAGGCUUAACACAUGCAAGUCGAGGGGCAGCAUGAACUUAGCUUGCUAAGUUUGAUGGCGACCGGCGCACGGGUGAGUAACACGUAUCCAACCUGCCGAUGACUCGGGGAUAGCCUUUCGAAAGAAAGAUUAAUACCCGAUGGCAUAAUUCAUCCGCAUGGUAGAACUAUUAAAGAAUUUCGGUCAUCGAUGGGGAUGCA